AGAGAGAAAAAGUUCAUAAACUUAACCUUAUCUUCUCUCUAUCUCCGCCUAGGCUCACUCACCCUCCCUUUCUCCCCCGCAGAAACCUAAACCAGAUCUAUAACUUCAUUUCUCAUCAUGGAAUUAAGCCAUGCCAAGAUUUCUUCGUCAAGAAGAAAAUGACAACAAUACCAGGGUCUUUUGAUUUGGGAGACUGUGAGGAGGAACAAUACUUUCCUUGGUUUUGACAUUUGAGCCAGAUCUAGUCAGAUCUGUUCUUGUUUAUACUUUUCCCCCUUAAUUUUCAAUGUUGCAUUAAUUUUCUUUUGUUUGUUUUAGGCUUUUGCAUUUAGAUUUAACCCGUCUCAUUUGCAAUUUGGCUUUGAUUUUCAAAGUUUCAAGAAUUUCCUAGUUUUCAAUUCCUAUUACCGACUUAGGAAUUUUAUAAUUUGUGAUGCAGAUAAAUGAAGGUUCCCAGUGUUUGCAACUGCAGUAACCAAGAAACUAAUUGAAGGAGUGGAUAAGAACCUAUGCAUCAUUCAAACCUGAGAACAACUACAACGUUGCUGGCUUCAUGUUGAUGAACCGUAUUUUAAAGCAAUUCAGAGAUUUCCAUCCAAAGAUCCUAAAAGUCCUUCAACAGGGAGGCUUACUUCAGAUAUGUGGCAUCCAAAUGGGAUUGAUGCUUCCACUGGAUAGAAAGCUAUGAUAUAGUAAACCCAUUACUAUUUUGGGUUUUGGGUUAUCACUAUACUAGUUUGCAAAUGUUGGUUGCUUCAGUUCUUUUCAAUAUGCUAUGCCUGUAUUCAUCCUUAUGCUGUCAACUGCAGGAAGAAGAAGUGUGGACAAAAAUCCAUAUGAUUCUUGUUUGAUGGUAUCGGACACCUUUAAUUAUGUCGUUUUGAUCAAGAUGGAUGUUCUGAUCUUGAGUAUAGGAGGUCCUAGUUACUUAGAUCUUCCUCCUGUUGAGAAGGUCAAACAUUCAUGGAUUGUUGCUUAAAAGUAUCUAAUUAUCAUUUUGGAAUGACCUUGAUAAACUUGGUUGCAUGUUUUGAUUUCGGAAGUAGUGCAUAUUGUUAAUUGUAUGAGCCACUUUGGUGGGAAGGAAUUAUAACAAGUCUAUGAUUACUUUGACUACAAUGAGUUCUAUGGGGGGAGUUGUUUUAUGGUUUUAAUGUUUCCUUGAAUAAGUUUUGCUCACUGAAUGUAUGAGAAACAUAUUAUCUUCUACAUUUUACCAUGAAAAUCUAAAAAUGGUGAACUGACACCAGCUUAGGUAAUAGUUUAAUGGUCUUUUGUUCAUCUUCGUGUAGGAAAGUAGGUUUUAGGGGUUUUAUCUUAUGUUUUUGGAUCUUGGUGUCCAUGUGACAGAAGGAUUUAUAUUCUUCUUUUUUGUUGUUGUUUUUCCUGUUGUAUUUUGUGAAUGCACUUUUUCGAACUCAACCUGUACGAGUGACUAUCAUGUUGUUAAUAACGUAAUUUAAAUAUCUGCAAGAAUUGAUAAUUUAAAUGCCUGCAGGAACUGAAUCAUCCUCUGAUUCUUGGUCACAACUAGAAGAUAUCUGACUGGAGUUGGCUGUUACGAAAAAUAGAGCCCUUUCAAUUAUGGUCGUGGUUGUUCAAAGUGGGUACUCGAUAAGCAUCACGCUGGAGUGUCAAGGGUGCUGUAAUUCUUAAAAAGCUUGCUCCUACAAUUGGUAUCGCUGUGGACCACAGGCGUAGAAACAAGUCAUUGGAAGGGCUCCAAACUAUUUUCUAGCGGCUUAAGACAUACUAGGCCAAGCUCGUUUUCUUCCCAAGACAUGCAGGCAAAUUCAAGAACACUCAAGUUGGAGAUGCUCACUCCAGUUGAAGGUGUUCCUUCAGAAACCUUGGAUCCAAUCAUUCCCGCUGUGAGAGCUUCGUUAAGUAAAGAUCCAGACUCUCAGCCAUUAGUAGUGAAGAUCCAGACUCUCAGCCACCACUCAUUUCCGCUUUUAAGCCAGUGUGUCCUCUAUGUAUAUUGUAGUUGGAUGUCUGGAAUAUAUUUUGGGGUAUAUGAAAUGUUGAUGAAUCAGUGAUGUUGAAUUUCAUUAUCAAAAUGAAAUCUAGAUUUAUUUUUUUCAUGA